rnacentral:rRNA from 1 species
GAUGAACGCUGGCGGCGUGCCUAAUACAUGCAAGUCGAGCGAACAGAUGAGGAGCUUGCUCCUCUGACGUUAGCGGCGGACGGGUGAGUAACACGUGGAUAACCUACCUAUAAGACUGGGAUAACUUCGGGAAACCGGAGCUACUACCGGAUAAUAUAUUGAACCGCAUGGUUCAAUAGUGAAAGACGGUUUUGCUGUCACUUAUAGAUGGAUCCGCGCCGCAUUAGCUAGUUGGUAAGGUAACGGCUUACCAAGGCAACGAUGCGUAGCCGACCUGAGCGGGUGAACGGCCACCCUGGCACUGAGACUCGGUCCAGACUCCUACGGGAGGAAGCAGUAGGGAAUCUUCCGCAAUGGGCGAAUGCCUGACGGAGCAACGCCGCGUGAGUGAUGAAGGUCUUCGGAUCGUAAAACUCUGUUAUUAGGGAAGAAGAAAUGUGUAAGUAACUAUGCACGUCUUGACGGUACCGAAUCAGAAAGCCACGGCUAACUACGUG